ACGGAUUCAAGUGACAAAACGGAAAUGGUUUCGCCUUGAAAUCCGGAUGUGACGUGUGCACUCGAUAGAUUUAAACUUUUCGACGGUAAGAAGAUGAACGUGUUGGACGCAAUCAGAAAAUGGAACUUCAAGCUGCCGCAUGGAUGCACAGAAUCAACGUGAUGAAGAAACAAACUGCGCAACUCCUACUGCGACCGGGCGAAAAAUUGCGAAAUGGACGACUGACCUGAGAAGUGGUGUAGCUUCAUGAGCUGUAACCUGCUGUUGUGAGAAACCUCAACCAUGAUGAGUUACCUACCCAGGACUGGAACAUCUCUCUAGGAAGUCAUCUAAACAAUGAUGAUGAAGCUUACCAAGGAUGCUAGCAAAAGGCCUGCAGUUCCUGAUUGUGUGUGUGACAGGGGCUGUCAUUGUCCUGGCUACAUGUUCAUCCUGGAGGUAGGUUCCUAGAACUGGACUGAGUCACACCAGAUGCUAUUCCAAGCAUGGCUGCAGCCGUCAGUAGUGGGGUCAGAUUUAGACGUGUGUGUUAGUGAAUGUGCAGGGCUCAAAAUUGCGACCAUUUUGGUUGUAUAUUUUCCCAAAAUUCGGUGCAACCUAAAAGUAUUUGUGUGAACCAUUAUGAACUUUUCAGUGGGUGCUCCAAAAAUGUUACUGCUGCUCCUAAAUUUUUACAUUACACUUUUAAAACUGAGCCUUGUUGUGUUAGUGAACGUGUUAUUAGACAUGUGCAGGCCUGUUCAGCGAGGCCGAGCCUGCAGUGGCUCUGGUCUUUCCUGUAGUGUCUGCUAGAGAGACCUGGGGCCGUUUGAGGCCCUGCUGUGUAUCUCCAUGGCAGGGUUAUAGGUAAACCCCAGACAGGUCACAGCUUGACCAACCCUGUAUUAGACAGAAUUAUAAACAUUGUUAAAUGAGUGCCUUGUUUAAACUGAAUGAAAGUGUCUUUUUUUUCAAGU